GGUAAGAUGGCUGAAAAUAGGCAAUAAACUGUAAAUUUAUUCAUGAAUUUAAAUUCUCUUACCA
rnacentral:tRNA from 1 species